rnacentral:lncRNA from 1 species
GAGUUUUAAUAAGUUUUGAAACAAAAGAAAAAAAAUGAAAAAUGAAUGAAAAAUGAAAAAUAAGAAGUUUGAAAAUUGAAGGCCACUUCUGGGCCAACUGCACCCAAGACCAACCUAAACUAAACCCUUUGAGAACGGAUACCCAAGCCCAAAUGCACCCCAACCCGGUCCAACCCCUAAUUUCCCAAAACGACGUCGUUUAGUUGAAAUCAAUCCUGACCGUCUAGGUUGUUGAUCUGACGGUCAGGAACUGAUGGUUUUUUGAUAUAUUAGUUCCAAACGCGUCCCUCCCCCCUCCCCGUCAUCUCUCACACCCUAAAGAUCAAACUCUAACGUCGAUGCCUACUGUUGCAAACUGCCGGCCGGAAAUCGCUUCCGCCGGCGGCAAUCGUCCAAACAUCCCCAAAUUAACACCACUUCAAAACCUCGCUGCCCUAUCUCAAAAUCCAUGCUCCGUGUCUUUCAAUCCCUCUCAAACCCGUCGAAUAAGAGAAACCCUAGCGCCGCCUCCGUCGUGUACAGCGCCGCCUCCGUCGUGUACAGCGCCGCCGCCUACAAAUCCCACCAAAAUCACACCCUAGGGUCUCCUCACCCCCUUAUUCCUAAAUCCCAAACCAAUCUCCCUCAAAUAAAGCCAUAAUUCCUCGAAUUUUAGAUCUAGGGUUUUGUUUAAAAACGGGAUCGAAUUUCCAAGGCUUAUCAGUGUUCGAAUUGGUUUAAAAAUAAUACUAUGUGUUUGUUUAUAGCAAGAACAAGCAUAUAACAUUAUUUGGGGACCAUAUUCGAAGUCAGUCAAGGAAGGGCACAAAAUCAUUAAGUCUUUCUUUCUUUAUUUGUUUUUUUAUUGUUUCGUUUAGCUCUUGUUUAUUUUUUCUUUGCAUAGUAAUUUCGUUCGAUUGAAUGUGAUAUUCGCUCCAUGUUUAAUCAUUCUUCAUGUUAUAUGAUUUAGGCUUCUUAGGAUUUUUAAUUGAUUUUUGUUUUUUCCAUAGUGUUUUUAUGAUUCCGUUGAUUUUUUUAAUUUUUGUUUGAGUCUGAAUCUUCUGUUCGAUUGACAAUAAAUGGCCUGAGUCUGAUUAAUUUUGUGUUUAGAUUUUGUCUAAUUCAGUAGCCUGUAAUAGUAUUAAUUAGAAACAAUUUCCAGUUUUGAUUAGCAUUAGAUAGAUUUGAUAAUUCAAUUCUAGGGAUUUUGUGGUAAUUGAAAAUGGUUUGGUUAUAGCUGAUCAUGUCCAGCUCCUUGGUUAAUUAGCCUUAGGCAAUUUUUGGUCAAGGUAAAAAGGGAGCUAGGGUUAGUUAAUAUAGUUUGGUAAUUUCAGAACCAAUGUAAGGGUAGUAUAGGUAGUUCAAUAAAAGAAUCCCGCAGUAACUAAAAUUGAAACCCCCUAGAACCUUCUAGAUUGGGUUUUAAUUUGAAAUUCAGGAACUUGAUUGCAUAACUUGACGUGCAAGUCAUAAAUUGAAGGACUAACUAAGAAAAAACUGAAAAUAAAAGAGAGACCUAGAAUGUAAAAAAAAUCUGAAAGUUGCCCUAACCUUUGCCUAUAAAAAAGGGCAAUACCUUGCCUUGAUAAAAAAGGCUUGCAAAAUAAAUCUGAAAAGUUUUAGAAGUUUUUGGAGAUCUGAACAAAAAAUUCAAAAGUUUCAGCAGUCUAGAGAGAUCCAAAACUCUUUAAAAUUCAAAAAUCCAAAUCUUAGAGCUUAGAGAAAUAAGAAAAAUCCAAAAAAAAAAAUUCAAAUUCGAAAGCUACUGAAAACUACUAAAAAUCAAAAAAAAAAAAGAGCAAAGUUCUGCAAAAGUUGAGAGUAUAUUAGAUCUUAGAGAAUACAACAAAUACUGAAAAAAUCAACUCAAAAAUAGUGUAGGAAAUCCUUCCAGAUCUACAGCUUGUUUGUUUUCAAACUCAGCUGAAUUUCCUAGGUCAAUUGAGGUUUAUUUUGGGGUCUGUUGCCUCCUAUCUUUGUUCCUGCUUUUUUGACUUGGAGUUUGCUGUUUUCUGCUGUUGUGUGUUGUUGCCUAGCUGAUCCUCUAUUUCCUCAUUUGUUCUAAUUUUCAAGUACAGUUUUUUGCCUUAAGUGAUGUUAAAGAUUAGAUCAACAUGUAUGAACACAUUUGAAGUACACUACUGAACAAUCACUUGUUUUUACUCGAAUUUUCUUUUUUUUUUAUUUAACUUAGGUGCUUAGCUUAGUAGCGUUGUUUGAACAGGUGUCUUUAUAUUAUUGGGACUGUAUGGACUGUUUUUAGUAGUUGUAAUUUAAUUAAUUUCAGUUUGGCUAUUAUGUUGAUUUGAAGUUUAAGCUAGACUAAAGUGUUAGUUAGGAGCAGAGUUCAUAUUGAUAUGAGAAAAGUAGGUCCUGUAGCUUUGAAUGUUAAGCUUACGUUUAAGUUUUAAGUCUAACAAAUACGCAAAUGGCUCUAUAAUUCAGUUCUAAUUCUAGCAUUUUAGUUUUGAAAUCAAUAAUAGCACUUCAGUAAAGUAAGUAUUAUUGUAUUUGAUGUUUCAAUAUAAGUCUUGAUUACUUUUGUUCAACCAUAGAAUUCUCUAAUUGUUUGUAUAAAUUCAUUAGCUUAGAUAUGAUCGGAAUGAAAAAUUUUGAAUUAAAUUGGCAAUUGAUGAAUUGAAUGGAUCUAAAAUUUUCCUUUUGUUGCUAAAUCGAUGAGUUCAAUUUUGAAAAAAGUUCAGUAGUGUUGUUUGAGCUUGUCGAUAGACCCAGGUUUGACAGUCUAUCCCGUUUGUUUUGGGCCCCAGCUUCACUAAUGCAUGGCCCAGUUCCAGUCUAGCUUACCUUCCCAAUUGGGCUUAUAUUCAGGCCCAAUGCUGAACAGCCUCUCAUAAGAGCUGACUUCCUCACUCUUGGGCUGGUUUCGAAGCCCAAAAUGCUAGAGGCCUGAAUUCCUUGGUUUAAUUUUGUAAUACAAUUUUUGGGCAUUCCAAGUUAAGUAGCAAACUUGAAUAUGUUUAAUAAUGGAGAUCCUCUUGUUGAAGUUUGGACUUGAUCUUGAGGUCAGGGCUUCCUCAAACGCCAAACGCUAAUUAAAUUAGGUUUAGAGACAUUCUUUAAUAGAUAAAUUUAGUUCAUCUUUAGGAUAUCAUUUUAAAAUUAAAUUAAGGUGUGCCGUGCAAAAUAAAAUUCAUAAAUUGCGUGGCCCUCUUUAAAUACUUACCUUAAAUUACUUAGAAAUCGGGAUGUGCCAUUUAGCGAAUAUCCAUGGCCUCCCGCAAAGUUAAUAACGCGUUAAUCGCUUCAGGCUCGUUCUUUUAUAAUUUUACCUUUCUAAACUCGGGUGUGCAUUUUAUGUGACCCAAAUCCAAGUCCCAAAUGUUGAAUAAAAGGUGUCGCGGAUCCGGGUGCAUUUCAUGUGACAUGAUCCAAAAACACGUUUUAAAUGACGUUCAAUUUUUCUUAAAAUCAAUUAAAAGUGGUAAAUAAUUUUUAAAUUGCACUAUAGAAUAAACAUAUUUUAAAACUAGAUAAUUAGCCAAUUAUAAUGGUUUAAGUAACCAUGCUAGAACCACAAAAUCCGGGGGUGCCUAACACCUUCCCUCGGAUCAACAUAAUUCCUUAAUCAGAAUCUCAUGUUCACAAACUUCAUUUCGAAAGUCAAAAAUUUUUCGAUUUGGGAUUCAAGAUAAACUGAUGACUUGGGACACCAAAAGUCAAAUCUAUCCCAAGUGGCGACUGAUAAAUAAAUAAUCUCAUCUCGAAUAAUGUCACUUUAAAUGGAAAAACUCCCUUAUAUAUUAUCCUUCCGGGGGUGGUAUGUAAAAAAAACAGGUGUGACAGAUCUGGAGACUCUGCUGGGGAUCCAAACCCAGAACUUCGGUUCAGGGUUUAAUAAUUUGAGCUUAUAAUAUUUAUUAUAUUUGGCUUUAUAUGAUUUUCUUACAUGCUUCAUGCCUAAUAUGCUAAAUGCUUUACGGUUUUGAUAUAUGGUGAAUUGUAUAUAUAAAGCUGCUGCAAAACCCUUCCUCUCUCUAAGUCUUCUACAUCAUGGAGAAGGGUGCACUUCGUGUGACUUCUCUUCUGUUUAGAGUCUUAUCCCAAUUUAGAACGAGGUUCAGACAAGCUGCUAAGCCGUCGGGGCUUCUGUAUCCCCGGUACAUUGCCCCCCUCGGCUCGAGUUGUCCGCUCGGGUAAGCCAGGUCUAGCACAAUAAACCCAGAUUUUAAACCUAGUAUAAAAAAACCUCAUGUCGUGUCCCUAGUAGGAAUGUUUGUUUGCAUCACGUGCAUUUGACUUUGGGAACUCAACACAGGGGUUGGGUCCAUCUUGGACAAGUGUACCCAAAUUGAAACGACCAUCCUGAUGCAUCCGACUUGCUAGUUGUGCAUUUAUUUGCUUCGGAUUUGCAUGUUGGCCGGCUUGUAAAUAAUGGGAGAGAGUUGAAAAGAAAAUAGCAAUGUUAGAGAAAAUAGGGUAAUCACCUAUUUUGAAAAAUCAAUACUCAAAAUAGUGCCGAAACUCUGCCGGAUUGAAAAUAUAAAAGACACAAGAAGUUUGUUUUUCAAAUUUUGGUUUUGACAGAUUUUCCCGAACUACGCCAGUUUGAUUCUCACCGGGGGUGAGAAACGUAGGAAACUCCCAUCGGGUCCAACUUCCCUUUUGCAAAACUAACCAAAAAUAAAAAUUUUUAUUUUAGUCACAAAAUAAAUAGGGUGAUGCCAUUCUUGUUUAAAAUAAGCCGAAUCUCCGCAAAAGGGUGUCGGAAGGCUAUUUUUGCAAGAACAGCCACCUCAUUUCAUGUCCUACGGUUAGUAGGCACAGCCUUAAAAUCUUCUCUCCUCAAGUGCUAAAAGGCCAUAUCUAAAAAGCCAGGAUUUUCGUCUUUUAAACUGAAAAUUGUCAAAAAAAGCACAAUUGUUUUUCUUUUUGAAUAAAAUAAACUCAUUGAAUCAUCUAAUAAAUGUGCAAAAUGAGCAUGAAUGAAAUUGAACCCUUCACACUCAUUAAUGGGAUCCCCUUGAAGCUCCAUAUGUGGCGGGAUGAUUUGGGAAAAGGUAGCAAGGAAACAGUGACAAGAGUUUUGGGAGGCCUUGUCGGAUUAUUAAACAUCAAGCCAAAGCUGGACAUAACUGAAGCCUUAAUACCAUUUUGGGACCCAACCUGCAUUGUGUUUUGUUUCUCUGACUUCGAGCUCAUGCCAACAUUGGAAUAAAUAGCAGGUUAUGUGGGUCUAAAUGGAAAUCUCAGAAGUCGAUAUCCUUUGUCCCAAAGACCGGUACCCCCUCACAGAUUCUUAGAUUUCCUAAGCAUUAGUCGGGACGUCUAAGACAGAAAUCUAGCCGAAGGAUACUGCACAUUUCAGCUUCUGUAUCUUUGAUAUGGUAACCCUCGGGGUUUUGAAGAACCAAAUACCGGUCUAACCCAUGCUGGAAACAAAGAUAAGUGGGAGGCAAGGCGAAGUCUAGCUUUCAUGGUAGCCUUUAUGGGUGUUGUGGUCUGUCCAUAGAAGGACGAAAAUAUAGAGAGAGGUCUGGUGGGAAUGAUCGAUGUGGCAAUUGAAUAGGCUAACAACACUACAGUAUCUUUAAUUGUGUUGGAAAUCUAUCGAGCCGUGACCAUUUGUCGGGAAGGUGGAAAAUUUUUCCAAGGUUGCAAUUUAUUACUCUAGCUAUGGAUGCAAUACCAUCUUUGUCACCGAGUUGGAUACAUGAACUGUGGUUUGACCGGUCUAAACUGCAUUGAAGAAUUUGGAAAACGGGUAGCGAGCAUUGAACUCCAUAUAGGCACAUAAGCUUGGCUAGCACAUCUGAGGGCCCUGACUGCUAACAAAAUUGAAUGGGCAUUUGGAUGGCUCCCUGCCACUGAAGCAAUAUACACAACAGCCAAAGCGUCUUAUUUCCUCUUAAUGGGCAUUUGGAGCAUCCAACCAUAUGCUCCCUACAGGGUGUUGCGUCAACUAGGAAGAUUCUAAGUUGUCCACAAUGACGAAGAUCUAAGCAAGCAUGCCAUUGAGUUGGGGCCAAAAGAUGCGUUUUCCGAAGAAAAAAUUCGCCAAAUAUGGAAUAAAUGUAGAUUUCUAGAACUCAAGACCAUAGUGCGAGAUCGAGCCAGAGGUGAAAUAGACCCCAAAUAUGUUGAAUGGUUCAGCAAGAGAUAUCAAGUUCUUGAAAUACCCGCAAAAAGACCUCAUGUCCAACAAUUCACCGUUGAGGCCCAACCACAACGGGACUGGCUGACUAAAGAAAAUGAAUACAAGGCCAAAAUCAGUAAAGUGGAAAGGCAAUUCAUGGAGCUCCAAUUUGAAAAUAGUGUUCAAUCUACCGCAGAUGAAGGGGAAAAGAAGAAACUAGCCCAGGAAAACGAGGCACUCAAUGCUCAAGUCAGAAAGAUGAAAACAACCGCCGAUAACCCAAAAAGAAGUCGUGCCAAUGAAAGGCUUGUAAGUGGGCUAAGAAAGAAAGUCCUCGAAUACCAAGAAGACUUAGAGAAGUUCACUGCCAGUCAGGCAAAGCUACAGGAACAGUGGAUAAAGAAAGCGGAAGAACGAGCACGGUUUGUUCAACAAAUGAAAAGAAACAAUGAGGGUUCUAUCACCUGCCUCAAAAGAAAAAUGAUUAAUUUGAGGAUGAAGCAGCCAAACAUGCUAAAGAUUUUAAGGCUAAUAGGGAACAUUGUUAUAAGCUGAUGACCCAAAUAGAGAAAGACAUGCAACAAUUGCAAAAUCAACACUUUCAUGAUACCCUAGUGUUGGAGUCUCAAAACCAGCAGGUAGGGAGAUUACUUUAGUAAAAGGGCAUAUUAGAGAAAGGAUCAUAGCCAUCGCUGAUUGCAUCACCAUGAAAUGCCAAGUAUGUGAGGAUAUGACUCGAACCACUUUCUUUGCUGCAGUGAUGAUCUUCGCCCGUCAAGUAAUGACUGAUUUGGAGCGACGACAAGAGGGUCUCGCACAUAAGCCUGCGGCGAGGCCGAAUGAUGCCCUGCGGCCCCGAAGCAUAGAUGUAUUUUUGAAUUUUCAAACAUUGAGUUUGCAUUUUUUUUCAUUUUGAGUCUGUAUUUUAUUUUCACGAAACUGAUUAAUUUAACAUCUUUGUAUUAUAGAAAUUUAAAAAUCUUAAAAAAAGUUCUUUUAUUUUGUAUUUGUUUCAAAGAACUAUGCUUGGUAUGAUUCAUGCGGGGUCAUGAGACGUAGGCAAUCUCCAUAAGAUUCGACCGUAUCCUUGAAAUAAAAAAAGGAAAGUAAGUAAAAAGAGGGGAAUAAAAGCAAAGAGAAGGAAAAUAAGAAAAUCGAGAGACAAACAUGGCAAAAUCAGAGGCAUGGAAAAGAAAUGAGAAGAAGAAAAAAAAGAGUGGAAAAAUAAAAGAAGGAAAUAGGAAGGUACCAGAAAGGAGCCGGGAUGAAGCAUGCAACCAUUGCAACACAUGUAGAUACUCUUUUAGCUGCAUAGGUGCAUCAUAACCUAACGUGCGAUCACCUGUCUAUUAUCUGUCUCUAACUAACCGUUUGUUGCUUGUAACAUCCAGUCCAGGAUUUUUAUAAACGGUGGUUGGUUUUGGUGGUAACCUGGCUUCACAUCCAUACUUUACUAGAUUGAAUGGAAGCAUCAGGAUGUCUUUAUAAAUCACUCUGGCAGGAAUUCCCACCAUGGACGAGAGCCCAAUCUCGGGCAUCCCAGCAUAAGAGUCAGCAACUGCCAAGGAAAAUUGGCUAUUGUAUCUCCGCAUGAUGGAUAUGUGGGACGUCUGGUCAAAUGGAAAAGAGCCACCUAGUGCAAUUUUUGGAUUUUAUGAGCUUUUCCCUAAGAAUGGGGGGAACGUCCACUGCCCCAAUCAGUCAUCCCAACAUCCCACUAGGACACCCAACCAUCGCAGCUAAUUUUAUGGGAACACCUUCAGAGGUUCGCCCUCAUAUGGCUAUAUCCAAUGCAGUCCCAAACAUCUUUACUGCUCCACCAUGCACAGCUACCACACAGCCCGCAUUUCCAAGGCCCACCUUUGAUCCUUCAAACUUUACAUUCCAUACACUCACCCCUGAAUAAAAGGUGUCGCAGUAUCCCACCUAUAGUUAUUCACAAUUGCAUCCAUUUGAGUUCAAAAGGAAACUCCCAAAACUCCGGGACAACAAGAAACGGAAAAAAGGAUGAGACGCCUGGAGCAAGGCCUCAAAAACAUGCAAGGGCUAAGUGGACAGAAAAGUGUAUCAUAUACUGAUUUGUGCAUGUUCCCUCAUGUGCAUUUGCUUGUGGGAUUCAAAACUCUGAAGUUUGAAAAGUACGAUGGGCAUGGUGAUUCUAUUGCCCACCUUAAGAAAUACUGCAAUCAGUUGCGCGGAGCUGGAGGAAAAGAAGAAUUGCUCAUGGCUUAUAUUGGGGAAAGCUUGGAGGGUACCACCUCCGAAUGGUACAUGGAUCAGGAUAUUUCUCGAUGGCACAUCUGGGAUGAUCUUGCAAGAGACUUUGUUCCACAGUUCCAGUAUAAUAUCGACAUUUCUCCAAACCGGAACGUGUUGGCAAAUCUAAAGAAGAAGCCCUUAGAAAGAUUUUGGGAGUAUGCAAUCUAAUGGCGUGAACAUGCGUCUAGGGUAAACCUCCAAUGGAUGAAGUAGAAAUUGUCAUUGUAUUCCUUCAAGCUCAGGAGGCUUAUUAUUUCCAGAAUAUGAUGUCAGCUAUGGGCAAAGCAUUUGCUGAGGCCAUUAAAAUUGGUGAAAUGGUAGAGAAUGUACUGAAAACAGGCAGAAUUUUGAGCCAAUUAGCUAUUAGAGCAACCUCCCAAGCCAUCUAAGGUGAGUCUGGAGGAGUGCACAAAGGUAAGAAGAAAUAGCCAUGGCAGUUUCAGGUACAAGUAGACACCACGCUCCUAGACCCAUGUUCUCAGACAUAUCUCCUCAGCAUUAUUACCCUCAUCAAGACAUAGCCUAUGCAUUUCAACCGUAUGCAGUCAUGAAUGCUCAACCUUUUGUAUGAUCGUAGCAACAUGCCAAUAGAAACCAAGCUCCAUUUCUAAGAAAUUAGCCUCUUCCGCAAAAUCACUAUAAUGCACGUCCUCCACAGAAUGAUCUUCCUCCUCGUGAGCCACCUAGGAGACAAAGUUUUACUCCAAUUGGUGAGUCUUGCUCCAGCCUAUUUCCAAAACUCAUCCAAAUAGGCCUAUUGCAACCAGUUCCUUGCGUCGCCUGCUUAUAGAGCUGGUGUCAGAUGUGCCUAUCAAUCAGGAGUAGAGGGGCACGAUACAGAUAAUUGUUAGACCCUAAAAAGAGUGGUGGAAAACUUGAUAGAGCAAGGCAAAAUAGUGCUAAUGGAUGAGGAUGUCCCCAACGUGACUAAUAAUCCAUUGACAGCCCACAACAAUGGGCCAGUGAUUGGGAUGAUUUGUGAAGAGAAAGAAUUUGAUCCGGCAUUAAAGGCCAUAAUUGCCAUCGUGGAUGCAGAGAGAAAGCCAAAAAGCGCCGCGAAGCAAGAUAAAGGGGAAAAGAAGAGCAAAGUCACCAAGACAGAACAAGAAAAGAAAGUUGAAACAGGAAUGGAGGUAAUGCCUCCCAAAGAAAUGAGAGAGGUCGAUUGGCGAAAACCCGCAAAAGGCACCGUCGGCCGAAAAGAAGACACCUCCCAUUACUGAAAGAGUCCUGGCAAGGUUCUCUAGUUUUGAAAUAUGGGUCAAUGAGCUUAUGAAAAGUUGGGAAAGUUUAUGUGGGUCGGGCAUCAAGUCCAAGAAGCAUGUCAUAUCCAUUUGUAGCCUACAUGCAUCCCCAAAUAAGUCUUUCUCUUUCCCUGAAAGGGACGCUCCUCUUUAAAUUCACCUUCUUAACUUUGUUUUAUUUUUCCUUGAAUCCCUUUCGGUUUAACUUUGAUUCCGAAACUAUCUCAAAAAAAAGGUGUCAAGACUGGUUUUACAGGGCUCUGCCUAGCAAGAGCUAAAGAAAGGUACCCAGCCUCAGUGGGAGCAUCAAACCAAUCCCGACAGGCUACGAUGGAGGAUGAUUUCAAAGCAAUGAUAUGGAAAAGGAAAGAAUGUCCAACGAUAAAGGUCCUAAGAGCAAAAUAAAGUGAAAGGCUGGAGCCUCACGCGGGCGAGUUGUCAUGAAAUCCUGAAGGUUGAGGCCCUUGGUUCGAAAGAGAAAAUGAUCUUCAAAACCAGCAAGCAGUAGAGGUUCUCAAAAUAAGUUGGGUCGGGAUCAAGCAAUCAAGGACACAGAACCAACCACAAUUUCAAACUAACAAUUGUUCUUUGUUGUAAAUUGAAACAGGUGCGAUACGAGCAACUGUGCAAAAAGAAUGUGCAGUCAAAAGGAAAUCACGCAAAUGCUGUAACAGCUUUGCAGCAAAUAGUCAAUGCAAAAGGGAAAUUUCCUCCAAGUUCUUUCCUGCAUCUUAUUAAAAUAAAUAAAAGGUAAAGGAUAUAACAAAUGAAGAAAAUCCCAAAAGAGGAUAGUUUAGAAUUCUCAAUACCAACAUGGUACCUUUUAUCCAACAUUAGGGCUCCAAUCCAUGAGUUGCGCCUUUUAGACAUAAGGUCUCCAUUCUCUAGUCGCCUUUAGCCAAUAUUAGGGCUCAAAUCCCUGAAUUGAGCUUUUUAUCCUUUUAUCCAACAUUAGGGCUCCAAUCCCUGAGUUUCGCCUUUUAGACAUAGGGCUUCCAUUCCCUAGUCGCCAUUAGCCAAUAUUAGGGCUCCAGCCCCUGAGUUGAGCAUUUUAUCCUUUAGCUAACAUUAAGGCUCCAAUCCCUGAGUUGAGCUUUUUACCUUUUAGCCAACAUUAAGGCUCCAAUUCUUGAGUUGUGCUUUUUAGACAUAGGGCCUCCAUUCCCUAGUCGCCUUUAGCUAACAUUAAGGCUCCAAUCCCUGAGUUGAGCUUUUUAUCCUUUUAGCCAACAGUAGGGCUCCAAUAUCUGAGUUGCGCCUUUUAGACAUAGGGUCCCCAUUCCUUUGUCUCCUUUAGCCAACACUAGGGCUCCAAUCCCUGAGUUAGGUUUUUUACCCUUUUAUCCAAUAUUAGGGCUCCAAUCCUGAGUUGCGUCUUUUAGCAUAGGGCCUCUAUUCCCUAGUAGUCUUUAGCCAACAUUAAGGCUCCAAUACCUGAGUUAGGCUUUUUACCUUUCGCCAAUAUUAGGGCUCCAAUCCCUGAGUUGCGCCUUUUAGACAUAGGGCCUCCAUUCCCUAGUCUCCCUUAGGCAACAUUAGGGCUCCAAUCCCUGAAUUGAGCUUUUUACCUAUUAGCCAACAUUAGGGCUCUUGCCUUUUAGACAUAGGGCCUCCAUUCCCUAUUCGUCUUUAGCUAAUAUUAGGCUCCAAUCCCUGAAUUGAGCUUUUUACCUUUUUAGCCAACAUUAAGGCUCCAAUCCUUGAGUUGCGCCUUUCAGCCAUAGGGCCUCCAUUCCCUAGUCGCCUUUAGCCAACAUUAGCGCUCCAAUCCUUGAGUUGAUCUUUUUACUUUUUAACCAGCAUUAGGGCUCCAACCCCUGAGGUGCACCUUUAGACAUAGGGCUUUCAUUCCCUAGUCACCUUUGGCAAUGUUAGGGCUCCAAUCCCUUAGUUGGUGUUUUCGCAACAGGCUCCACCCCAAUUUGUUCUAUCACAGACAAAAACAACUCUUGAAAAUGAAAAAGAUAAAUAAGUACAAGUAACUCACAAAAUUUUCCUAGUGAAAAUUGAGGCAGAAAAAUUUCGUUCAUUUGUUUUUUGUCUGAGCAGGUUUGACUUCAAAGUACAGGGUGUGAGACGACCGAAAAAAUGAAGUCUCAAUCCAGAAUUAAAAAAAAAGAGAAAAAGAACAAAAGAAGUGAAUUCAAAACACUGAAGCGAACAGAGAUGCGACCUGCUCAAAGCUUGUUUGAAGUCACAAGCUCCGCCUGUUCCGCUCUUAUCCAAUGCUGAAGAAAGAACCAACACCUACAGCUUGCGAGCAUCAACAUUCAAAUCGGAGUCCAUAGCAAAAUCAGCUAAGACUCAAUAUCAAUCUUUAAAAGAUUUAUACAUAGGAAUCUUGUAACUAAUAGUUGUUAGGCAUAGCUAGCUUAGCUUUGAUUUUCCUUUUGGUGUAAAAAGGAGGUCAGCAAGCAGUAGCAGCAGCAACAACAGUGAAAUCACAGCUUCUGAUAGUCCCAGCUACCAAAACUUCCAGAACUACACUAACCUGAUUUCUUUAUAGCCAAGGAUAUAUAGGCAAUCUCUGAAGCAGGUUUCGGUCAGACGUUUUUCAAAAAAUGCUUCUCAAUGGAAUACCAAGCAGGAAAAAAUCCGUCAUGAUUGCUUAGUUAUCUUUGCCCGAAAACCCUUCGUGUUUCCAAGCAAAGAAGGGCAGCUGUGAGCACGUGAAUGUUUCCUCGCUUAAAUUACUCCUAUAGAAUUCUUAAAAAUUAGGAUUUUUCUUCUAAUUAUUUAAUCUCAGGGAAGUAAUUGCAUAAUUUUGUAUAUGUCUGCAUUUUUGUGUGCAUGUUUUAUUGAUAUAACUCAUAAAAUACAAAAUAUGUCACAUGCACAUUUUAAAGUUGUUUUGAUUAUU